rnacentral:lncRNA from 1 species
UCCCAAUUCAAAAUUGGAAUUUUUUUUCAAUUUGAGAUUGGAAUUUCAAACUGUUUGCCUCAAAUUCGUCCCUUUCCAUUUAAAAUCAGCCUUGGACCUUUAAAGAUGUUUUGUAGUAUUCAAAAUUCUGAGCAUUUGAUAUUUUGGCAUAUUUUCAUCUUCUAUUCAAAUUUUCAAAGUAAUUUGAGUUUUCAGAAAGGGUGCUUUGGGAGGAAGGGGGGAUAAGUUCUAACCCCUGUUCAUGGCGGUGCGCAGGUGGGCUUGGACCAGCGUUUGCCAGCGCGUGAGCGCCGUUUCACCUCGUCUCAGCACGCACCCGUCUCCGUGGCAUCAAGUAGCAGCUGCUGGCGCCUCUUCUUGCUUCGUGGCGUCCCAUCCUGAGCUUGCCGACCUUGUCUUGCCACCGGAGCACCGACGGGCAGCGGCUCGUCCAACUCCAAUUUCACCGCAGCGGU